rnacentral:rRNA from 1 species
CCUACGGGUGGCAGCAGUGAGGAAUAUUGGUCAAUGGGCGCGAGCCUGAACCAGCCAAGUAGCGUGAAGGAUGACUGCCCUACGGGUUGUAAACUUCUUUUAUCAAGGAAUAAAGUGAGGCACGUGUGCCUUUUGGUAUGUACUUUUUGAAUAAGGAACGGCUAACUCCGUGGCAGCAGCCGCGGUAAUACGGAGGAUCCGAGCGUUAUUCGGACUUAUUGGGUUUAAAGGGAGCGUAGAUGGGUUGUUAAGUCAGUUGUGAAAGUUUGCGGCUCAACCGUAAAAUUGCAAUUGAUACUGGCAGCCUUGAGUACGGUUGAGGUAGGCGGAAUUCGUGGUGUAGCGGUAAAAUGCUUAGAGAUCACGAAGAAGUCCGAUUGCGAAGGCAGCCUACUAAACUGCCACUGACAUUGAUGCUCGAAAGUGUGGGGAUCAAACAGGAUUAGAUACCCUUGUAGUC